CCUACGGGAGGCUGCAGUGGGGAAUAUUGCACAAUGGGCGCAAGCCUGAUGCAGCCAUGCCGCGUGUGUGAAGAAGGCCUUCGGGUUGUAAAGCACUUUCAGCGGGGAGGAAGGCGGUGAGGUUAAUAACCUCAUCGAUUGACGUUACCCGCAGAAGAAGCACCGGCUAACUCCGUGCCAGCAGCCGCGGUAAUACGGAGGGUGCAAGCGUUAAUCGGAAUUACUGGGCGUAAAGCGCACACAGGCGGUCUGUCAAGUCGGAUGUGAAAUCCCCGGGCUCAACCUGGGGACUGCAUUCGAAACUGGCAGGCUAGAGUCUUGUAGAGGGGGGUAGAAUUCCAGGUGUAGCGGUGAAAUGCGUAGAGAUCUGGAGGAAUACCGGUGGCGAAGGCGGCCCCCUGGACAAAGACUGACGCUCAGGUGCGAAAGCGUGGGGAGCAAACAGGAUUAGAUACCCGGGUAGUC
rnacentral:rRNA from 1 species